GAUGAACGCUGGCGGCGUGCUUAACACAUGCAAGUCGAACGGGAAUUCUUUUAUUGUCACUUCGGUCGAUUUAAUUUAAUUCUAGUGGCGGACGGGUGAGUAACGCGUGGGUAACCUGCCUUAUACAGGGGGAUAACAGUCAGAAAUGGCUGCUAAUACCGCAUAAGCGCACAGAGCUGCAUGGCUCAGUGUGAAAAACUCCGGUGGUAUAAGAUGGACCCGCGUUGGAUUAGCUGGUUGGUGGGGUAACGGCCCACCAAGGCGACGAUCCAUAGCCGGGCUGAGAGGGUGAACGGCCACAUUGGGACUGAGACACGGCCCAGACUCCUACGGGAGGCAGCAGUGGGGAAUAGUGCACAAUGGGGGAAACCCUGAUGCUGCGACGCCGCGUGAAGGAAGAAGUAUCUCGGUAUGUAAACUUCUAUCAGCAGGGAAGAUAGUGACGGUACCUGACGAAGAAGCCCCGGCUAACUACGUG
rnacentral:rRNA from 1 species